rnacentral:rRNA from 1 species
CACGUAGGGCGCAAGCGUUGUCCGGAAUUAUUGGGCGUAAAGAGCUCGUAGGCGGUCCGUCACGUCCGCUGUGAAAACCCCAGGGCUCAACCCUGGGCUUGCAGUGGAUACGGGCAGACUAGAGGUAGGUAGGGGAGAAUGGAAUUCCCGGUGUAGCGGUGAAAUGCGCAGAUAUCAGGAGGAACACCGGUGGCGAAGGCGGGUCUCUGGGCCGAUAUUGACGCUGGAGGAGCGAAAGCGUGGGGAGCAAACAGG